GACAGAGGGUGCAACCGUUGUCCGGAAUCACUGGGCGUAAAGGGCGCGUAGGCGGUCUGCUAAGCGUGUGGUGAAAGCUCGGGGCUCAACCCCGAGUCGGCCGUGCGAACUGGUGGACUCGAGCACGUCAGAGGCAGGCGGAAUUCCGGGUGUAGCGGUGGAAUGCGUAGAGAUCCGGAAGAACACCGGUGGCGAAGGCGGCCUGCUGGGACGUGGCUGACGCUGAGGCGCGACAGCGUGGGGAGCAAACAGG
rnacentral:rRNA from 1 species